UACGAAGGGGGCUAGCGUUGUUCGGAAUUACUGGGCGUAAAGCAUGCGCAGGCGGCUUCUCAAGUCAGGGGUGAAAGCCCAGAGCUCAACUCUGGAAUUGCCUUUGAGACUGCGAGGCUUGAUCACGGGAGAGGUGAGUGGAAUUCCGAGUGUAGAGGUGAAAUUCGUAGAUAUUCGGAAGAACACCAGUGGCGAAGGCGGCAUACUGGACCAACACUGACACUGAGGAGCGAAAGCGUGGGGAGCGAACAGG
rnacentral:rRNA from 1 species